CGUGGAGGGGAGCUUCUCCGAUGGCGACGGCGACCACCAUCCAGGCCUCCUUGCUCACCUUGGAGAUGCAGAGGAGGAGGAGCCGCGCCUGCGGGAGCUCUCCACGGAGGAGGAGAUUUCGUGGCGGUGGUGCGGAGCGUACGGCAGUGGAGGGGCUGGAGAGACCGGGCCCACAUCGCUGAAGCAGUGGGCGUGGAGCAGGGGAGGAUGAGGGCGAUGGGCAUGAGGGAAGGAGCAGCGAGGUCGGAGUUCCAGGGGAUGCCGGCCGUCGUCACAUGUCCCCAGUAUCUGAGGAACAAAAAGAAGGGGAUGAAUCUUGAGGAAGAGCUUGGCUAAGAACAAGAUCUGAGGAACAAAAAUAAGGGGAUGAAUCUUGAGGAAGAGCUUGGAUAAGAACAAGGCAUCAGUGAAGAUUUGGGCAGUAGCUAGGGAGGGAUUGCUGGAGUGGAAACAUGGCAAGAACCGGAAAGAGCUCAAGAUUUUGCUACUACCUUGCUAAUAAAUUUGUGAGGUUAUAUGAUUUGUACAUGGCGGUGUUACUGAACAGAAGGAGGUAAUUUCUUCGCUCUUUCUAUUGAUUAAUAUUGUUCUUCACUCUUUCUAAACUAUUGAAUUUAUUAAUAUUAUUCUUGCACAAAUUAAUUAAUGAUUAUAUCAUCUUUUGGUCACUCGAGUAAGAUAGAACAUGAUGAUCCUCUCUUAAUUUGGUUUCUCCUCCGCUGAAGAAUAUAGGAAUCACCAGCAGCCCUUCUCUAGUUCCGAGGAAGUGCUCAACCUAGACGUUGUUGGCCGAAGGAGGGGCGGAGCAGGUGCCAGUCAAGUAGGCGGCUCAAUGGGUGGGAGAUGGCAGCUGCCGAUCUCACACGGCUCAUGCGCCCCGCGACCCUCCCCUCCCCGGCUAAGUAGGAGGUUCGAGGGCAGCGACUAAGGAAGGAGCACAUCGGCGAUGAGGGCUAGCAAUAGCAAGACAAUUGCCAGGCUCAGAUCGGCGAGACCCGUGCCAAUGCACGAGGUACAAUAUUGGUUAAUUUUCCAUCUCCAAUCAGAUUAAUGGUUUGCAUGCAGACCAAGCCCAGUGUUUUAUGGUGUUCUUAUUCCUGACUUAGUUGUACAUUUGACUUUUAGUUUCUUCAUAGAUAAUAAAGUAGUGGCAGAUGAACCAAGUCCAUGGUAUCAUACGAUUUGAAGUUGAAAAAAUCAUGCUAUGGGUGAUACGGAAAAGUCAUUGCCUUCUUUGCUGGAACAUUUCCUAAGAUGAUCUAAGGUGAAGCAUUUAUGAAUAUCCUCGCUGAUCUAUGGAUCUAUCAUUGUAAGAGUCGAUAAUAUAUGGUGAGCUGCCUCACACCAUCAUUUGGUCUUCGUAGCAUUUGAGUUGGCAAAUUUGUUGGAUUCAUGCGAUUAUGC